GCUGGGAUAGCUCAGUUGGUAAAGCCUGAGACUCUUAAUCUCAGAGUCAUGGUCAAAUGUUUCCUGCA